rnacentral:rRNA from 1 species
GGGGAAUUUUGGACAAUGGGCGCAAGCCUGAUCCAGCCAUGCCGCGUGCAGGAUGAAGGCCUUCGGGUUGUAAACUGCUCUUGUACGGAACGAAAAGACUCUGGUUAAUACCUGGGGUCCAUGACGGUACCGUAAGAAUAAGCACCGGCUAACUACGUGCCAGCAGCCGCGGUAAUACGUAGGGUGCGAGCGUUAAUCGGAAUUACUGGGCGUAAAGCGUGCGCAGGCGGUUAUAUAAGACAGAUGUGAAAUCCCCGGGCUCAACCUGGGAACUGCAUUGGUGACUGUAUAGCUAGAGUACGGCAGAGGGGGAUGGAAUUCCGCGUGUAGCAGUGAAAUGCGUAGAUAUGCGGAGGAACACCGAUGGCGAAGGCAAUCCCCUGGGCCUGUACUGACGCUCAUGCACGAAAGCGCGGGGAGCAAAC